UCCUGCGGAGCUCAGUUGGUAAAGCAUCUGCCUGCGACGCGGGAGACCUGGGUUCAAUUCCUGGCUCAGGAU
rfam:Ovis aries breed Texel chromosome 1, whole genome shotgun sequence.